UGGAGUCAAAUUGUCAUUUUAUUUUCAUGUUGUUUAUAGAGGGGAAUAAAGUUAGUGCUGUGGAGUAGGUGAGCCAUAUGUAGAAAUACAGGUUGAGUAGUGCUGUGAUGGCUAUGAAUGUUGUAUAUGGAGUGGGAUAGG